rnacentral:rRNA from 1 species
ACUCUAGUAAGACUGCCGGUGACAAACCGGAGGAAGGUGGGGAUGACGUCAAAUCAUCAUGCCCCUUAUGACCUGGGCUACACACGUGCUACAAUGGAUGGUACAACGAGUUGCGAGACCGCGAGGUUAAGCUAAUCUCUUAAAGCCAUUCUCAGUUCGGACUGUAGGCUGCAACUCGCCUACACGAAGUCGGAAUCGCUAGUAAUCGCGGAUCAGCACGCCGCGGUGAAUACGUUCCCGGGCCUUGUACACACC